GACGAACGCUGGCGGCGUGCCUAAUACAUGCAAGUAGAACGCAGUUGCGAACGGGUGAGUAACGCGUAGGUAACUGCCUGGUAGCGGGGGAUAACUAUUGGAAACGAUAGCUAAUACCGCAUACUACCAGAUGGACCUGCGUUGUAUUAGCUAGUUGGUGGGGUAACGGCUCACCCAGGCAACGAUACAUAGCCGACCUGAGAGGGUGGUCGGGCCAACGUGGACGGGGACAAGGCCCAGAAUCCUACGGGAGGCAGCAGUAGGGAAUCUUCGGCAAUGGGGGGAACGCUGACCGAGCAACGCCGGGGGAGUGAAGAAGGUUUUCGGAUCGUAAAGCUCUGUUGUUAAGGAAGCGGUACUUAACCAGAAAGGGACGGCUAACUACGUGCCAGCCGCCGCGGUAAUUC
rnacentral:rRNA from 1 species